rnacentral:rRNA from 1 species
UGUGUAUCAGUACAUGGCAUAUCAAUAAGCGGAGGAAAAGAAACUAACAAGGAUUCCCCUAGUAACGGCGAGUGAAGCGGGAAGAGCUCAAAUUUGAAAUCUUCAAGGUUUUCCCUUGACGAAUUGUAGUUUAAAGAAGUGUUUUCGGUUAGUAGAGGUGGUAAAAGUUCUUUGGAAUAGGACAUCAUAGAGGGUGAGAAUCCCGUAUUUGAUCACUUUCUACUGACGUUGUGAUACACUUUCAAAGAGUCGGAUUGUUUGGGAAUGCAGUCCAAAAUGGGUGGUAAAUUUCAUCUAAAGCUAAAUAUUGGCGAGAGACCGAUAGCGAACAAGUACCGUGAGGGAAAGAUGAAAAGAACUUUGAAAAGAGAGUUAAACAGUACGUGAAAUUGUCAAAAGGGAAGCGUUUGACACCAGUGUUGUUUUUCCGAAAAUCAAUUACGAAUGUUUUGUUUUUGAGAAGUUAUGACUUCAUCGGCUUGCUUCUUUCCUUACGAAACUUUCUUAAUGCACUUUUCGGUUAACAAGUCAACAUCAAUUUCUUUUGUUGUAAAAGGGUAUGAGGAAGGUGGCUUUCUUUUCGGAGAAAGUGUUUAUAGCCUUGUACCUCUGCAAUCGGAGAGAUUGAGGUCUGCAGCGUAGAUCCUUCGGGGUUAGAUACAUUUGUGCUAAGUUAUAGCUUUUCAUAGACAACUUGUUGACUAUGUUCAGUCAUGUAGCUUACUCGCUUGUGCUAUUUUACCUACGCUUAGGAUGUUGACUGAUAUGUAGUCGU